GAUGAACGCUGGCGGCGUGCCUAAUACAUGCAAGUCGAGCGAACAGAUGAGGAGCUUGCUCCUCUGACGUUAGCGGCGGACGGGUGAGUAACACGUGGAUAACCUACCUAUAAGACUGGGAUAACUUCGGGAAACCGGAACUAAUACCGGAUAAUAUAUUGAACCGCAUGGUUCAAUGGUUAAAGACGGUUUUGCUGUCACUUAUAGAUGGAUCCGCGCCGCAUUAGCUAGUUGGUAAGGUAACGGCUUACCAAGGCAACGAUGCGUAGCCGACCUGAGAGGGUGAUCGGCCACACUGGAACUGAGACACGGUCCAGACUCCUACGGGAGGCAGCAGUAGGGAAUCUUCCGCAAUGGGCGAAAGCCUGACGGAGCAACGCCGCGUGAGUGAUGAAGGUCUUCGGAUCGUAAAACUCUGUUAUUAGGGAAGAACAAAUGUGUAAGUAACUAUGCACGUCUUGACGGUACCUAAUCAGAAAGCCACGGCUAACUACGUG
rnacentral:rRNA from 1 species